rnacentral:lncRNA from 1 species
CAGAAUUGAUCUCGGUGGCAGCACCUCUGGUGGGUCGACCCUGCAGCUUCUCCUGAGCAGUUUCGUUAGUUUUUGGGUCCUAGAACCGCUAGUGGUACCAUAGCGGCUCUUCAUGGGUUGCAGGACGUUUGCCAACUCCACCCCACGCUGCCUGCCUAGGUUCAGGCUACGGGGCAAAAAGAACAGACUCCUGCAAAGGAAGAACCCCGAGGGUUGGCUAUUUAGGAAAGACGUCCUUUGCAGUGCCAAGUCCGCGGAUGCUGCACUUGACUUUCUCCUCCCUCCUGGGGAAGAAUUGAUGUUUACCUCUCCCCACUCUCCGGGCCGCAUUAUCCAGGGAUUUCUGGGACUAGACUACCUGAGAUUUUAGCGCUUCUACUGGAUCAUCCUUUUGGAAAUAAUUAUCACUUACAAUAAUGUCUAUCCGGGCCAGGUGCGGUGGCUCACACCUGUAAUCCCAGCACUUUGGAAGGCCGAGGAGGGUGGAUCACGAGGUCAGGAGAUCGAGACCACCCUGGCCAACAUGGUGAAACCUCGUCUCUACUAAAAGUACAAAAAUUAGCCGGACGUGGUGGCGCGCGCCUGUAGUCCGAGCUACUCGGGAGGUUAAGGCAGGAGAAUAGCUUGAACCAGGAGGACUAGGUUGCAGUGAGCCGAGAUCCUGCCACUGCACUCCAGCCUGGCAAAAGAGCAAGACUCCGUCUCAAUAAUAAUAAUAAUAAUAAUAAUAAUGUCUAUCCAUGUUCUUUAAAAAAGUUUGCCUUCACUAUUCUUUGUCAACGUUUGGUUGUCUUUCUCAAUAAAAUAAGAGAGAAACAUCAAA